rnacentral:lncRNA from 1 species
UUGGCUGGUGGUCAAGUGCAUCUUCCAGCCUGAGACCGCGUGGACUCGCUCAUCGUGAGGGCGAGAGGAGGAUAAGCCCAUUGGGCUGUCGGCUGAGAGUGAGGUGCGGGAUUGCUGAUGAAAUCCUUGGCAUCGUCGGAGAUCUCAUCGAAUGCCUCGUCGUCGAAGUCCCAGGUGGCUGAGGUAACGUUGGCCAAGGUUUCGUUAUCGUUGUCUCCCAUGAAGGGGGAAAGGCCACUGACUCUGGAGAGACAAGAGCAGGACAGCAGGUGUGGCUAGGAGAGGGCGCGACCACCAGAUGAGGGAAUUGAGGCACAGCCCAGGCUCAAGUAACCUGCCCAAAGAUUCGCAGCCAGUGAGAUUGGAAGCCAGGUAUCUGCCUCUAGAGCCUGUCCUCUUAAAUGCUAUACUAUCCUAACAUUUCUGUGAAGAUGAAGUAAAUUGCAGUGUUCAGCACUGGCACCAGGCCUGGUCCACAGUAAGGAGGCAGUCCAUGCCUGGAGAUCUCAUGCAGUUCUGCUGGGUUCCCUCCACUGCCUUACCAAGCUCUGAGUGCAGGAAUGACUUUGUGACCAGCAGCUUAAGCCAAAUAAACUUUAUAAGGUAAAGAAUUUCAAAACAAAAUAGAGCAGAUUUGUGGCUUAUUGACCUUACCUCUCACCUCUGUGCACCUCACCUUCACAGCAACAACUCACCCCACUGUUCAUGAGGGCCUUGUGAGUCAGCCUCAUGGGUGUUUGACCAGCACAGUUGCCCACAGUCCCACCCUUAGACAGGCCCUGUGCUUGGUUUAAUGCUCUGCUGCUGUCAUCUCAAGAUUCUCAAUAAGGUUUGAACAAG